ACUCCAAGCGCAGAGGGGAAGUCCUGUGCGCUGAAACGCCGGGAGGGUGAUGUGAAGGCCUUGGAAUACGAGAAAACAAAACUGAGAGACGCCCCCCCCCCCAGCCCGGGUUUCACAGAGCAACGAGCAGAAACUGAAACCAACAGACGCUCCUAUUGACAAGUUCACCUUCUGAAGCCCUGUAACCCAGAAACUCUCUCAAAUUAUUUAAAACGAGCGAGCGAUUUCCCGUCACAGAGCCGAGGCCGAGCCCUGUCAGACGCUGGGAGGUCGCGGCAGACUGGAGGGCCGGCGCCGCUCGGCUCCGAAAAGAACGAGGAGGAAAGGCGAGAUGCCUCCUCCCCCGCUUUCUCCGGGCUGUGGAGUCUGCCACUUGCCACAUGAGCGACGACAGCGACGUGGCCAGGUCCAACAUGCCGAGAAAUGGGGGAAGUGACACUGGGUGACAUUCUCCACGAGAGCGGUGACAGAACUGUGAAACAAUACAAAUGUGCAUAAAGACAAAGAACUCCCACUGCGGGCCAAGGUGCAGCAAGCUCACUUAACUUCUAUCUCCCAUUGAUUACAAGCAAAAAUUGUGGACAAAACACAAAAUGCAACUACCUGAGAACUCUGAGAAGUUAAGAAUGCAAGCUGAUUAUGGAGAAUCUAAACUUGAAGGAAAAUCCAUACACAGACAGGAAGAAAGUGACUUGGGUGAGACCACCCAGCAACUGAGGCACAGAGCCAAGGCUGGAAUUCAGUUCUCCACACCUGGUAAAGAGGAGAGGCAGGCAUUACAGAUGAAAGAAGGAAAGAGACAGGGUAUUGCUCGUGCUCAGGCGGGG